UAGGGAAUCUUCGGCAAUGGACGAAAGUCUGACCGAGCGACGCCGCGUGAGUGAAGAAGGUUUUCGGAUCGUAAAACUCUGUUGUUAGAGAAGAACAAGGACGUUAGUAACUGAACGUCCCCUGACGGUAUCUAACCAGAAAGCCACGGCUAACUACGUGCCAGCAGCCGCGGUAAUACGUAGGUGGCAAGCGUUGUCCGGAUUUAUUGGGCGUAAAGCGAGCGCAGGCGGUUUCUUAAGUCUGAUGUGAAAGCCCCCGGCUCAACCGGGGAGGGUCAUUGGAAACUGGGAGACUGGAGUGCAGAAGAGGAGAGUGGAAUUCCAUGUGUAGCGGUGAAAUGCGUAGAUAUAUGGAGGAACACCAGUGGCGAAGGCGGCUCUCUGGUCUGUAACUGACGCUGAGGCUCGAAAGCGUGGGGAGCAAACAGG
rnacentral:rRNA from 1 species